rnacentral:rRNA from 1 species
GUAGGGAGCAAGCGUUAUUCGGAUUUACUGGGCGUAAAGAGUGCGUAGGCGGUCAGGUAAGUCAGGGGUGAAAUCUCUGCUCUUAAGGCAGAAACUGCCUUUGAUACUGCUUGACUCGAGGACAGGAGAGGGAAGUGGAACUCUGGAAGUAGCGGUGAAAUGCGUAGAUAUUCAGGGGAACGCCGGUGGCGAAAGCGGCUUCCUAGUCUGUCCCUGACGCUGAGGCACGAAAGCUAGGGUAGCGAUCGGGAUUAGAGACCCCGGUAGUCCUAGCCGUAAACGAUGGGUACUAAGUGUGGGGGGAGCAUUACUCUCCGUGCUGAAGCUAACGUGUUAAGUACCCCGCCUGGGGAGUACGGUCGCAAGACUGAAACUCAAAAGAAUUGACGGGGGGCUGAACAAGCAGUGGAGCACGUGGUUUAAUUCGACGCAAAACGAAGAACCUUACCAGGACUUGGCAUGCCAGUAGUAGCGACCUGAAAGGGAAGCGAUCCUUAUCUUCGGAUAGGGAAGCUAGCACAGGUGGUGCAUGGCUGUCGUCAGCUCGUGCCGUGAGGUGUUGGGUUAAGUCCCUUAACGAGCGCAACCCUUGCUUCUAGUUGCCAGCGGGUAAUGCCGGGCACUCUAGAGGGACCGCCGCCAGAAAGCGGAGGAAGGUGGGGAUGACGUCAAGUCAUCACGCCCCUUAUGUCCUGGGCUACACACGUGCUACAAUGGCCAUGACAGAGAGAAGCAAGGGAGCGAUCCUGAGCGAAUCUCAAAAAGUGGUCCCAGUCCGGAUUGCAGGCUGCAAUUCGCCUGCAUGAAGUCGGAAUUGCUAGUAAUCGCGGAUCAGCUAUGCCGCGGUGAAUACGUUCUCAGCCCUU